rnacentral:rRNA from 1 species
AGGAUGAACGCUGGCGGCGUGCCUAAUACAUGCAAGUCGUGCGGUAACAGGAGGAGCUUGCUCCUUGCUGACGAGCGGCGGACGGCUGAGUAACGCGUAGGAACCUACCCCAAACUGAGGGAUAAGCACCAGAAAUGGUGUCUAAUACCGCAUGUGCUCCACGGAGUAAAGCUUCGGCGGUUUGGGAAGGGCCUGCGUAUGAUUAGCUAGUUGGUGAGGUAAUGGCUCACCAAGGCGACGAUCAUUAGCUGGUCUGAGAGGAUGAUCAGCCAGACUGGGACUGAGAACGGCCCAGACUCCUACGGGAGGCAGCAGUAGGGAAUUUUCCACAAUGGGCGAAAGCCUGAUGGAGCAACGCCGCGUGCAGGAUGAAGGCCUUAGGGUUGUAAACUGCUUUAUAUGUGACGAAUAUGACGGUAGCAUAUGAAUAAGGAUCGGCUAACUCCGUGCCAGCAGCCGCGGUAA